ensembl:lncRNA
ACUUUAAAAGCCUCAUUUUGCUUUUAGCUUUUCAGUUUUUAAACACCAUGUUUACAGUGGUGGAUAUUUUUACUUUAAGCUGUUUCUCUCUGCUCUUCGACUUUAUACACAGCUAAGCUAACUCUAUCAUAAGAAGCAGGAUUUUUGCUACCAUAAGCUUUUUUUGUCUUGUUUUUUUUUUAGUCUGACUCUUAUCAUGUUUGAUCUUUGGCCCUGUGCGAGUAACAGAGUAGCAUUUAACUAAAUGCAAUCUUAAAACUGGAAUUAUUCUGACAAAGAUUUAUAUCUUCAUAAGCAACGACCGGUACUCAGGAGGUCUUGGCCUGUGCAAAUGGCCUGACUCCAAAUGAUAUCUGAUGGGCUGUGUGGCUUCAGCUUAAUAUUUAACACAAACAUGAGAGAGAAGGAUCAAAUUUCUUUUGUUUGUGAGGAAAAGCCAGUUGGAAGGAGCUUAUUUCACACAGAGUAGAAACUGGGCGAUUGAUUCCCAGAAUAAGAAAAAGGGGCAUUAUUUUGAACUUUUACUCAUGAAAAGCUAGGCUAAUGCUAAUGAGUGAAAUAAUAAAUACAUGAAGCUGAGCGUAACAGAGGCACCGCUUAGUCUGUGCAAGUCCCCUUUUUUCCAUUUAUGUCAUGUGUUUAGUUUAUCUGAAGCCCGUCUGAUUUUAUUUUUUCUACAGCUGUAAACCAAAUCCUCGGGGCUCAGUCUGUCCCAGAUCUUAAAGAGACGGCUUUAAGUUUGCACUUUGAAAGCUUUGAGGUGCUGAGUGUCGUCGGUGCUGCUGGGAGAGCUGGAGCUUUGCACCCCUCUUACCUUUGCAGACACAGUUUGUGGUUGAGCAUUUAAAGCAGCAGCACCUUUUUAACAUUUUCUGAAGGGCGUGUCUCAUUCCAGGAUGUUUUUGUAAAGAGUUCAACUUUUGGCAAAGGUCAUCUAUAUAUUCUACGUGCCUUAACACUGGAUAAGAAAUGAAAAAUGUGCUCGUGAUGCUGAUUCUGUUUGUUUAAUGAUGACGGAGCAUAUAUUCGGAGGCUGCAGGCUCUGUGGUUUCUCUCCUGUCCUUUUGCACAUGGUGCUUGUUCCUUUGGCAUGCUGUUGUCUGCAGUCUGUUCACUUUGUUUCAGAGGUUCUGUCAUUUGAGGUGUUGCACUUUGUGUGCCAGGCUGAAGCUUGAGCGUUUCUGCGAUCCUACACACACACUGUCACACAGCGUAUCUGAGCAUAUUCGAUAUUUUUCUCUUUAUUUUUCUUUUGGUUGCUGCAUCGGCCGAAUGUGAGCUUCACUGUUUGAAUGGUUUCACUCUCAAUGCUGAUCAGCCACAGCAUUAAAACUUUUUUUUUUUAAACCACAAUUAUUUUGAACCACAGUAGUUUUUGAAAAGUCAAUGAGACAUUAAGCCGUCAUGUUAAAUAGCUGCCAGGUUCAUGGGAUGUGAGAUGGGUUAUUGUUGACCGAGACCAGAAAAACAGCGAGUCGCUCCACUUUUAAAGCGAUCACUAAAUUAAUUUAGGAAGACAUCGAAGCGUUCAAGGUGUUAAACUCUGCCACUGGCAGCCGGUGAAGCCAUGCUUCUACCAAUCAGAUCUGCUUUUUAUGUUGUGGCUGAUCAGUAUAUUGAAAGGUAUUGAUCAGAGAUUUUGGGUUAAACACUGAAAAGCUGCAGCCGGUCACCAAC